rnacentral:tRNA from 1 species
ACGUUUGUGGUUCAGUGGUAGAAUUCUCACCUUCCAUGUGGGAGACCCAGGUUCAGUUCUCGGCCAGUGCA